rnacentral:rRNA from 1 species
GACGAACGCUGGCGGCGUGCUUAACACAUGCAAGUCGAACGGUAAGGCCCUUCGGGGUACACGAGUGGCGAACGGGUGAGUAACACGUGGGUGAUCUGCCCUGCACUUCGGGAUAAACCUGGGAAACUGGGUCUAAUACCGGAUAGGACCACUGCCUGCAUGGGUGGUGGUGGAAAGCUUUUGCGGUGUGGGAUGGGCCCGCGGCCUAUCAGCUUGUUGGUGGGGUGAUGGCCUACCAAGGCGACGACGGGUAGCCGGCCUGUGAGGGUGACCGGCCACACUGGGACUGAGAUACGGCCCAGACUCCUACGGGAGGCAGCAGUGGGGAAUAUUGCACAAUGGGCGCAAGCCUGAUUCAGCGACGCCGCGUGAGGGAUGACGGCCUUCGGGUUGUAAACCUCUCUCAGCACCGACGAAGCGCAAGUGACGGUAGGUGCAGAAGAAGGACCGGCCAACUACGUGCCAGCCGCCGCCGUAA